UACGGAGGGCGCAAGCGUUGCUCGGAAUCACUGGGCGUAAAGCGUACGCAGGCGGGAGUUCAGGUCGGAUGUGAAAGCCCGGGGCUCAACCCCGGAAUUGCAUUCGAAACCGUUCACCUUGAGUACGGGAGAGGGAAGCGGAAUUCCUGGUGUAGAGGUGAAAUUCGUAGAUAUCAGGAGGAACACCGGUGGCGAAAGCGGCUUCCUGGCCCGAUACUGACGCUCAUGUACGAAAGCGUGGGGAGCAAACAGG
rnacentral:misc_RNA from 1 species